CUACGGGAGGCACCAGUAGGGAAUAUUGGACAAUGGGUGCAAGCCUGAUCCAGCCAUGCCGCGUGCAGGAAGAAAGCCUUCUGGGUUGUAAACUGCUUUUUUCAGGGGAUAAAAUACCGGUGCGCCGGGAAUUGCAAGUACCUGGAGAAUAAGCCACGGCUAACUACGUGCCAGCAGCCGCGGUAAUACGUAGGUGGCAGGCGUUGUCUGGAUUUAUUGGGUUUAAAGGGUGCGUAGGCGGUGAUUUAAGUCAGUGGUGAAAUACGGCAGCUUAACUGUCGAGGUGCCAUUGAUACUGGGUCACUUGAGUACUGAUGAGGUAGGCGGAAUGGACGGUGUAGCGGUGAAAUGCUUAGAGAUCGUCCAGAACACCGAUAGCGAAGGCAGCUUACUAAGGAGUAACUGACGCUGAGGCACGAAAGUGUGGGGAUCAAACAGGAUUAGAUACCCCAGUAGUC
rnacentral:rRNA from 1 species